rnacentral:rRNA from 1 species
UACGUAGGGGGCUAGCGUUGUCCGGAAUCAUUGGGCGUAAAGAGCGUGUAGGCGGCUCGGUAAGUCCGCUGUGAAAGUCCAGGGCUCAACCCUGGAAUGCCAGUGGAAACUGUCGAGCUAGAGUCCGGAAGAGGCGAGUGGAAUUCCUGGUGUAGCGGUGAAAUGCGCAGAUAGUCAGGAGGAACACCAAUGGCGAAGGCAGCUCGCUGGGACGGUAGCUGACGCUGAGACGCGAAAGCGUGGGGAGCAAACAGGA